UGCUAUGCAAAAAAUCUAUGUUAUGAAUGUACCAUCACACUGUUAUAAAAGCAACCUUUUUUUCCUUUAAUAGUGCUUAAAACCUGCUCUGUAAUAUAGCACAUAAGCAUAACGCUAGGCUGGAACUGCCAGAAAUAAAUGCCAGCACUUUCGGAAAUAUUUAAAAACCUUAUUCAUACGAAUCUGGGGUUGAAUUGCAUACAUUUGUAAACCCACUUAUUUAGAGGUGGGAGGAACCUCACUGGAUAUCUGUAAUUGAAAAAUCUUACUUUCAACUAAAACUGAGAAAAGUUUUACCAAUGGGAUGGUACUCGAAACUAGUAACAUAAGUUGUUCCAGCUCCUGUGAACAUUUCUGGAAGACUUCUUAGGUAAUGCACUAGAUCCUAACCCAACUGAAAUUAACUUCAGUUAACUGAAUUUAUAGUUAAAUGACCCUGAAAUGCUGCUCAAGUUCUUACUUUCUAGUAUCUAUGCAAUGUCAUUGUUUAGUAAUUAGAUUUUUCAGUGCUUUAGUGUUCUGGAAGAGACUUCAUCUAUCCAUAAAUGGCUACCAAUUGAUUCUUUUUUAUUCCUGUUUCAUUUUCCAGCUUUCAUAAUAGUGAAUCUAUUUGGACAGAAAAUUAGUGUUUGGAUGGUUUCCAGAGUGACAAUUAUGAAAAAUAGGUGAAUGAAAAUCCUCCAAUGUACUCCAACUGGUUUCCAGUUGAAGUAGUGCAUGAAAAUGGUACUUUAAAAAAGUCAGAAAAAUUUUGGGUUUGUCUGCCAAAAGUCUCAGAAAUCAGGUAUAGAGAUGAAAUUUCAUGUUUUCUGUCAUGGCAGCAGAGUAACUGCAUGAAAUUAAAAAAGGCAAAACUGAGGUUUUCCAGGAUGCAUCAGCUCAGUGCAGGGGCAGGCAAACACCAGACCUGUGCAUGGGAAUACGCAGCUGGAAGAACAGAGAAGCAAGGAAGGAAGAAGUGACAUAGCCUCCUGCUGGCAGUAGUGAACUGCUAGAUUUGCUCAAAUGUCCAAACAAAUGUGUCAGUUCCUGGAAAGACGAGCUGGUGCUUUGCUUCUGCCAUCCUGUCUGCAUCCCAUCUUCCCUUUUUUUAAUUAUUUUCUGCAGGAAACUAAAAUGGAAUAAACCAGUGGGAGAUACAAACUGGGCUCUGAUGUAUUAGUGAUGCUUGAGUUAGGAUUGUGUCAACAUUUUACCGCAUUUCCUGCCUUUUCAUUUUUUUAAGCAGUGACAUGCACUGUGAAAGCUGGAACAAAAUGAAGUGCUUCAGUUAGCUCAAGGGCAGAACUGUUUCUUGCUUGAAAAAUCCUUAUUUUAGACUCUUUGUGAAUGACAAAUAAUAAAUUAACUAUUUUAAGAUACUUGUUAACACUCCUCCUCUCUUAGUCAUAAAGGGAACCAAAUCUAAAACCACUCCAUAGCAAAGCACCCACUUCAGUUUGUAGUCACAGAGAAUUUUUACACACAGAAGUCCAAACUGGCAAACGGGGUUAAAACUGAGGCAUUGCUUUACUUUGACAGUCUUGCUUAAAAUAUAUUAUGGACAUUCAUGCACAUUAGCAGAAGCAUUUGCCUUCUGUAGACAACUGAGAAUAGCAACAGCAAUCACAGACUGGGCUGGGGUGGAGAUGGUCUCUUUCUCCUGAUUUUUUUCUCAUGAGAGACUCUAUUUCUUAAAUCCAAAAAUUCCACUUCUUCCUUUCAUGUCUGGUUGGAGGUUUUUUUUGUUUGGUUUUUUUUUUUUAGAUAUUGCUGUUAGUUUAUCAUCAAAAAGAGGUUUAAGUCUUCAUGCCUGGAGGAUUUCUCUUUAAGCACCAGUACUGUGAUCUUCCCUACAUUUGCUCCUGGAUAGCAAAGUUGAGCUCAGGAAGCUCCCACACCCUUACACUUCAGUUUAUCAUCCUUUUGGUUGUUCCAGAACAAUCAUUUGUGAGGCCAGGCUUUGUGCUGUAAACUGAUCUUUGUACUUUAAAGGGUGAAUGAAUACUGCUGCUCAUCCUUGCACAAGUGUCAAUUAACAUAUCUUGACAAAUUUAAGGGAUUUUAGAUAACAGAUUAGAUCAUGUUUAAUGUAGCCACUUGGAAUCCAAUUGACAUGACUCAAAGAAAGAACAAUCUGCUCUUGUAUGGGUUUAGAUAGAUUGUCUUCUCAUUAUCAAUUUUACAGUGAGUAUGUGUUAGCUUUAUGGGUAAUUUUAUGAUAGUUCUGGAUUCUAUUUCAGAUAUUG